GAUGAACGCUGGCGGCGUGCCUAAUACAUGCAAGUCGAACGAAGCGGGGACGGGUGAGUAACACGUGGAUAACAUCCUAUAAGACGGGGAUAACUUCGGGAAACCGGAGGUAAACCGGAAAAUGAGAGAUGGUUCCGCGCUGCAUUAGUUAGUGGUUAAGGUAACGGCUUACCAAGGCAACGAAGCAUAUCCGAACUGAGAGGGUGAUCGGCCACACUGGAACUGAGCCACGGUCCAGACUCCUACGGGAGGCAGCAGUAGGGAAUCUUCCGCAAUGGGCGAAAGCCUGACGGAGCAACGCCGCGUGUGUGAUGAAGGUCUUCGGAUCGUAAAACUCUGUUAUUAGGGAAGCGGUACCUACUCAGAAAGCCCCGGCUAACUCCGUGCCAGCAGCCGCGGUAAUUC
rnacentral:rRNA from 1 species